AGGAGGAACAAUCACAGUGGCGUGGCCAGCUAUGGAGCCCUGGAUUCAGCUCCUGCAGUAACUACAGAGCUCUCAGUCUGUAGGGGCCUGGAUGCUCCCGGGGCGGG
rnacentral:pre_miRNA from 1 species